AUUGAACGCUGGCGGCACGCCUAACACAUGCAAGUCGAGCGGCAGCGCGAUAUGUAGCAAUACAUAUUGGCGGCGAGCGGCGGACGGGUGAGGAACACGUAGGAACCUACCCUCGAGUGGGGGAUAACCAAGGGAAACUUUGGCUAAUACCGCAUGAACUCGAGAGAGCAAAGCUGCCGCAAGGUGGCGCUCGAGGAGGGGCCUGCGUCCGAUUAGCUAGUUGGUGAGGUAAGAGCUCACCAAGGCGAUGAUCGGUAACUGGUCUGAGAGGACGACCAUGCACACUGGGACUGAGACACGGCCCAGACUCCUACGGGAGGCAGCAGUGGGGAAUAUUGGACAAUGGGGGCAACCCUGAUCCAGCGAUGCCGCGUGAGUGAAGAAGGCCUUCGGGUCGUAAAGCUCUUUAGGUUGGGAAGAAGGGUGAUGGAGGAAAUGCUAUCACUUUGACGGUACCGACAGAAUAAGCACCGGCAAACUCUGUGCCAGCCGCCGCAGUAAGAC
rnacentral:rRNA from 1 species